UAUGAGGUCGCACAGAGUCGGACACGACUGAAGCGACUUAGCAGCAGCAGCAGUGGUUAAUACACCUGCCUGCAAGGUCACAGCCCAGGGUUGGGACCCAUGAGGUACCCAAAGGGACAAGUGGGAGCUCCUGCCAGGUCUUGGCCAGAAGCAGGGCCUCCCAUGGAAGAGCUGGCAGGUGUGCUGGGGACAAUGAGGGAAGGAGCAUCUUUGGCGGGACUUGUUCCUGUGAGGAGGGGCAGAUGGGGACCACAUGAAUCAGUUUCAGGAUGUGGGACAGGUAGCCUGAGCAUGAAGUCCAGAGGUGAGAGUGUCUUCACUUGGCCAGAGGUGGAGGGCUUUGUGGAGGUGAAGCUUCAUGGCCGAGGGGACUUGGAGCCCAGGUAGGUGGGGAAGGGGGCGAUCCUGGCGGCGGGAGUGCACCAGUGGUUCUUUGGUGGCUGCAGCAGAUGGAGCCUGUGGCCAAGAGGGAGGACUUGGUUCAUAAAGGCCGUGACAGGAGAGUCUAGCUUUUGCCCAGCCCCUUCAUGGGCCUCCCUGCCUCCAUCCUACCCCCUCCUGUGUGGGCCCCACUACAGGGUGACCUUUCUCCACCAUGGCAGUGUCGCCCUGGGGUUCCUGUUGCCUCUGAAUAAAGGUCUGCUCAGGAGCCCUUCCCAGGUGGGGGCCUCUCCUGUCCUUCGCCAGCUCUGCCCCGACUCAAGCCCCUUCCCCUUCUGCCACAGCAGACCGCCACCCCCACCUCCCCGGAGACAGCCCUGACAUUGCUGCCUCUGUGCUGUGUUGGUCCCAGCUGUUCCUUCCACCUGGGCUUCCCUGCACCUUUCUCCCUGCCUCCCGGGACCAAAACAGACGUCCUGUCUCCUGCUCUGACCUCCUCGGCAGAACUGAGUCAUCCCCCUUUGUCUACAGCUGAAGCAUAGCGUUCAUCACGGAAUUAGCGGUAAUUCUGUCGGUAUCUGUCCUCCCCAGGAGGCCGGGGCAUCGAGGCCCAGGGCUUGGCCGCCUCCUCUCUGCAGCCCCAUCAGCUCCAUGGGCGAGGCGGGGGAGCACAGAGCACUCAGAAGCCUUCCGAGCAGGAAGGGGUGGGCAAGAAGAUCUCAUCCGGCCGCCGCGUUCUGGAAGAGACGAGGGGACAGCGCACGCGAGCAGAGGAGGAGAGGCGGCGCGGGGAAGGGAGGCGGCGAGACGCGCAGCGCCCGCGCCCGGGAGACCCAGGAGGAGCCCGCAGGUGGAGGGGUGCCUUCUCAGGACCCCCCUCUGAGCCCAGAGAAGGUGCUGCAGUGGGAGAGCCUGGGAAAGCUGGUGCAGCCGGAGCCUAUGGCCUCGUGGGGGGACUCUCCCCACUCCACAGCCCCACCGUGAAGGUGAGAGCCGGACCUGGCCACAAUGGACACUGGGCUUUGGCUGGACAGACACAGGGAUGAAUGAACCAGUAUUGAAUGAAUGAAUAAAUGAAUGGAAAGGGAAAGUUUCUCAAUUGGAGGUGUUCAUUUUUAAGAAAUAAUUUUCAAUAUAUAUGUUUUAAAAUAUGAUUAAUGGGAAAAUCUGAAAAAUCGAGAAAAAUAAAAAAGGUUGUGGACAGUCUCAGUGGGCUGUGACAGUGUUAGUAUUUUGAUGUCGUUUUCCGCAGUCUUUUCAGCUUGGUGGCUGGGUUGUUUUUUAGAGACUUGUCGGCACUCUCUCUGUUCAGACGUAUAUCCUGCUCUCUUCGUUGGCGCUCAUGGGAGCCUUUUCCUGUUUUGUAACCAACUCUUCAUAAACACCGCGGUUAAUGUCUUCAGGCUUUUCCAAUCGGGUGGAUGCACCACCAUUUACUUAAUAUUACCCUUUUGUUCCAUGUUCUGGUUGCCCCUGAUGAACGAGGUAGUGGAUUUCUUCAUGAGGACAGCUUUUUUUUCCCUUUGAUGUUUAAGACGAUUUCCUCAAAAUGACGCUGCUCACGCCUGCAGUGGGAGAAACAGGCUCCUCAUUUUUCCCCUGAUAAGUGGGACACUGUUACACUUCCUCCCCACGAUCCAGAACCUUCUUUCAGAACUGAAAGAGCCUCGGCAGUGAAUCACCUGUCUGAACCCCCUCCUUUGACAAGAAGGAACGGGAGCCCAGAGAGGGAAGUGAAUUCCAAGGUCACAUAGCAGCCAAGAACAGGCUGCUGAUUCGCCUUUUGGUUUCCAAAUUCAGGAAGAGUGGGUCCUGUAGGCUGGCCUUGCCCAUUUCACAGACGGGGGCACUGAGACCCCAGGAGAGGAGGAGCACCCACUCGCCUCUGAUGUUGAUGUCUGGAGCACCAGACAGGCUCCUUAGCCCUUGUGUCUCACACACUGGCUAUGGCCAUGAUGUCCGUGGUGCCUGGGGCCACCCAAGGUGCCAGCCUGUGAUUGACCAGCAGUGGAUUCCCUGCUGCCCCUGCCCCAUGGCUCCCCCUUCCUCUCUGCCAUCCCAUUUUCCAGAAGAAAAAGCUGAGGAGCCAAAGCAGAUGCAGAGAGAGAGUGGGAAUGCAGAUGUCAGAGGACGCCCUUGGUCAUGCCCCUGCCCUGGCCUUCAGUCCUAGUAGUUCUGUGUCUUUUCUGGGGCUGGGGCGGGUGUUGGCACAGACCCUGCAGUGGGGAAGAGGGGAAAGACCAGCGAUGUCUCAGCUGCUCCCUCUGGCUCGGCUUGACCCCAGGAGGUCCCUGGGGAGGAAGGGAAAGGGAGGGGAGAAAGAGGAGAGGGAGCAGAGAUGCUUGGAGAGAAAGGAAAGAAUUAGAAUGGUGGGGGAGAAAAUGGGGAAGGAAGGGAUCUGGUUAAAGAAAAAGGAGAGAGGAGGUCCCUGCCCCCCCCAGGCCCAUUGGGCACCCUUGGGAGCGACUGGGGGCAGGGUUCCCAAUGGGGGAGCUAGGGCUGCUCAGAGCUGUGUGGCCUGGGUCAAGGUGGAAUGGAAUAGCUCUUUAGAGGGGCCCAGGAGGAUCCAGACCAGGUGGGUGGAAGGGAGGUGGCAGCUCCUCUGGUCACGGAUUCCAGUGGGGCAGGUGGUGAGGCACCCCAGGUCAGAGGCCAGGGCCAGGGGUGUGCGUCAGGUGAGGCGAUUAUGGCUCUGACUUCCCAUCGCCAGGACAAGGGCCUUGUGUCCCCCCUGGAAGCAGCCCUUCCGUGAAUGUGGGUAUUUGGGCCUUUCUUUGGUGUCUCGACUUGGACGCCUUCCCAUGUGCCUGCGUGUGCAUAUGUCUGUGUGUCUGAUCCUGUUUGUGUAUUCUUGGGGGUCGGUAUGCCUGCCAGCCUGGGUGUGUACGCCCGUGUAUUCUGUGUGCCUCGGGCCCUGUUUUUAUAUUCUUGGGCAUGUAUGCUUGCAUGCAUACCUGUGUGUGUGUGAAUCUGUGUGUGUCCCUGUGUGUACAUGUCUGUGGGUCUCUGAUCCCAUGUGCGUUUCCGGGGGACAGUGUGCCCUCGAGCUCGGGCACGUGUGUGUCUGUGUGUGGGCACACACUGCUCCUCCUAAUGGCCCCCAGAGGGAUGCAGGCACCAGGCUUCUAUGCCGUUUUCAAGGUUGCAGCUGGGUGGGUGAAGUGGGGGGCGGCCUUCGACUGGGAGGGGGGUGGGGGGAGGCAAAGAAAUUCUUAAAAGACCAUCUUCCCUCCGGUCUCCAAGGAGAUCAGCCUGUGAAAUGAUCCGCACGUUAAUUAAAAACGAUUAUAUCCUGAUUGAGCCAUUCCUGCUCACGUCCCCCAGCCGGGGAGAGGCCGGGGCUGUGGCCAGAUAGGCAGGACGUGGCAGGGUCCCAGGGUCCCACUGCGACAGGGCCGGCUCCGGCCCAUGGCCCCUGGAGGGGGCAGGUGGCAAGGCAUUGAGGGUACGUGCCCACAGCCAAUUUGAGCUUCUGGUUUGAAUUUUGAAGACACCCACUCCCCGGGUGUGUCCUCUGAGGUCCGUGGAGCUCCUGCCAAGAGGUUGAGGUUAAGAGCUGUCCUCCUGUGAGUGUGGACAUUUGGGCAUUUUUGUGCUGUGUCUUCGUGCUGUGUGUGUGCACACCUAUUUGUGUCUCUCUGUGAGUCGGGAUGGCACCACCAGCCCUGUGGAUCCGUAUUCCUCUGUGCCGGGCACUGAGCCUGUUUGCCCAGAUCCUGCGAGUCAGCGUUUGUGGUUCCGGCUUUUUAGAGAAGUGGCAUGCUUGAGGUCACAGAGCCAGAGGUUGGGGACCAAGUCCUCUGAUCCCAAGACCCAGACCCCCUUCUAGCUCCCAGCUGCCCCCAGACUUCCAUGAUGAGCGGUGUUCCCUCUGCAUGACCCCUGGGAAGCUGAGGUGCCCAAGGGUAGGCCUUGUCAUUCUCACAGUGCUCCUGAUGUUGUUCAUUCGGAGGUCCGAGCUGCAUGGGGUGCAGGGCUGUGGUGUCCAGACAUGUGGCAAGCAGAUGACUGGCCAGCUGGAGUGGGCUGUGCUCCUCUCCUUCCCACGGCCAUCCACUCUGGCUGAUGACCAGGGCAGACCAGCUACAGGUGCCCUGUGGGACUGCUGGCCACCAGGUACCCACACUUCUGGGUCCAUGCGGCCAAGCCCUUUCUGGAAAGGUCUGGAUCAGGUCCCACUGCCUGGCCUGGUUGUCUGGCUCCCAUUAAGCCCUGCAGUCAUGGAACAAGUAGUCAUAGGAAGAAGAAGGCAUGAGACCCUCAGUCCGCACCCCAGAAUCAGGUGGUGGUGUGGUUCACGAGAGGGAGGCACUCAGGUGAACCAGGACACCUGGUGUUUGUGUCCAGAAGGUGGCCUGCCAUCCUGCCCCUUCCACUCCACGCAGUGGGCACCAGCCUAUGUGCCCAGGAGCCGUGAGCACACAAGCCAAGGCCUCUCAUGCUUCCUUGAGCCUCAGUUUCCCCUUUGUACAGUGGGAGCAUAACUCUUUCCUGACCAGACUGUCAGGAAGGUAAGAAAAACCAGGGCAAGUCUGUUCAAGACUCAUCCCGCAGAGGGGAGUGGACCGGAGGGUACUUGGCUGCAGCCAGAUGCACAGGGAGGCGCGUCUGCCCCUUCAAGGCACCGGUGUGUCACCUCGGCAGGGGCCCUGGGCGUGGUGGCCUCUGGGAGGGAGAUGCACUGCUCCUCCCUCAGGGUUUCUGGGAGGCCGACUGGGGUUGAGGUGGCUGUCGUCUCAGUAGUGCCUCCAGGGGACUCAGACGUCGCUGGACUCACCCGAAGCUCCAUUACCAAAGGGAGAGAGUCUGCAAAGGGGGGCGGUUCCUGCUGGAUCAGGUCCCACAGUCUGAGGGAAGCCUGGCCAAGGGAGGGUUGUGGGGCCAGAAACGGCGUCAUGAGGAGUUAGAGGCACGGAUGGGACCAGAAAGGUUCUCUGUUGUUUCUCAAGGGCAGCACUCAGGGAGACAGAGAGAGGCAGAUGUCGGCUCCUCCCAGGAAAAGCCUUUUGUCCCAAAGCUGGAGGAGACCCUGCCUGCCUAUGUGCCCCUGCGGGGUUCCGUCCCCUGAGCACCUCACCCCACGUGGUAUCAGCCUUCUCGCCUCUCCCAGGGCCAGAGGUGCGUCCUGUCCCCUCCGUCACUCUCGCGUGGAGGCCCUGCUCAUCUGCAGGCGUGUCACCCCGGGGGAGUGACCAAGGAUGAGCUCGAGUCUGCAUAGCUCCGGGGUCUCCACCCUCCAGGCCCCACGGGGACAGUGGGUAGAGCUACUGAGGGCGGGGGCCACAGCUCAGCUCUCCCAGGUGGCCUUUGGGGAUGCAGCCCAGGAGCUGUCCCCCACCUUCUUAGGAACUGGAACUCAGAUAUUCACGUGAUGUCUGGCUUGGGUGUGCUGUCACCUAGUCUGGAAACUCACCUGAGGCCAGAUUCAGAGCGCAGGCCCCGUUUGCAGCCUCCAGGUUCAUCGCUGUCACCCAGGGGUCACUGUCACUGCCCCCUGUCCAGCCUUGAGAAUGGUGCCAGCCUCAUGCACACGCGCCCCGCUCCCACGUAGAGUGAGGGUUUGUGAGUGGAGGGCACACUGGGACCGGACCAAGCGCCCACCUGCCCUGUUCUCCUGCACACACAGCUGGGGUCCCAGCUGCUCCCCCAGCCAGGCUGGGCGGGCAUCUGAUGGGCGCCGGGGUCACAGGUCAGGCUCAUUUGCUUCCUCGGGCCCUGCCCCCAAGGAGUCAGGAUGGUCUCCAGGAGUCGGGAGCACACCUUUCAGCCGGCCUGGAGGUAGGACAGGGCCUGGAGCAGAGGGCUCUGGCAGCAGGAGAGCUGGAGGCCGGGGUGGAGGCUGAAAGGAGCCUGGGCCCAGUGGGGUCCCGCUGGAGCAGAGCGAGGACCAGAGUGACCCGCCAGGGCCUGAGUGUGCUCCCUCAGAACGCCGCCUCCUGAGUCCUUGCUGGUGGCACGCGGACCGGAGGGAACUUCCUCCUCCUGCGGCCUCCUGCCCCCGGAGCUGGGAGCUGCUGUGCAGACCUGGGGCGCCGUUCCCCAGGGAGGCGGAGGCCUGCAGCUGAGCCUGUGCCCUAGCCAGAGGGAUUACAGAGUCUCGGCUGGCGAGGGAGGUGGUGGGCCUCCGGGACCAGUAAUUAAAGCCCAGCAGAUGAUAAUUCCCUAAAAGAAAGCUCAGCAGGAAGAGGGAGGAGGGGCCCAGAGAGGGCAGGCGGAGGCAGGGUGGUAGGCUGGGGGAGUGGUCAGAGGACUGGAACCUGGAGUCCUCCCGUUCAGAGCAUCCUCUCUGUGAGACCUCCCUCUCCUGGGCCCCAGCACUUAGCUGUUUCCUGUCUUCAAACUCCCUGUGAAGGAAGAUUUCCUGUUGUCUGCAUCUUACAGAGGAAGAAACCGAGGCCCAGAGGAGGCCCCUAUGGGACAAGGUCCUUGGGGCCAGUAAGAGUCUUGGCACGGAUAACCAGGAUGACGUCCAGGCCAGGCAGAUCUUCCCACCCCUCCCUGUGUCUGGGGAGGGGCAGGGGUCCUGGCAUCACGGCUCACAGUGUGGUGGCUGGAGGGGGUUGGCUACCCAGCAUCGCCUGCCGUGCAACAAGGCAGGAUCGCCCCUCCGUGGGGGGGUCUACACACCUGUCCGGGGCUCCGAUUGUCCUGGGGUUUCCUGUAGCCUAGACAGUAGGGGUGGCCAACAGGGCAGACCCUGCGGUGAGGGGGGCUGUGACCUCUGGGACUUCCUCCCCCACCCCCACUCAUCCUGCAGGUCCCUCUGAACCUCUCGCGCUGCGUGGGGGGGCUUGACUGUCACCCCAUCUGACAGAAGAGAAUCCAAGCCAUCUCCUAGAGGUGAAAAGCUUUCUGCUGUCCUGCCCUGCCCACCCCCCACUUCAUACCCACCCCCACACUCGUCUGAGCAGACUGCCUACUCCGGAGGGGCCAGAGACUCAGGCUGAAGACCACAGACCAGAUCAGAGCUUGUCCCCGGUGACACCUUCAGGUGGGCACUAUGUGGCCUGCCACAAGGCUUAAAAAAUAAUACUGGGCUUCACAUAAAAAUCCCACUUUCCGCUCCUCUUACAAUUGGAAAUCAUAGAGCUGCAGACAGAGUUGAGACAGGGCUGCCCACCCCUUGGGCCUCUGCAGACCCUUCCCAAUCUAGUUAACCUCCACCCACCCCCACCCCACCAGGUUUGCCCCUCACCCCAUUUACAUCUGGGGCUUCUCUGGUGGCUCAGUUGGUAAAGAGUCUGCCAUGCAGGAGACCUGGGUUCCAUUCCUGGGCUGGGAAGAUCCCUGGAGAAGGAAAUGGCAACCCACUCCAGUAUUCUUGUCUGGAGAAUCCCAUGGACUUAGGAGCCUGGUGGGCUACAGUCCACAGGGGGUCACAAAAGAGUCAGACACAACUGAGUGACUAACACACACACACCACUUAACACCUGGGCUCCCAUCCCGGCACCCCAGCUUUCGCUUAUCUUGGGUAGAUUAUAUCUUGGAACUCCUCUGUAAAAUGUCCAGUGAAAGUGUCUCCAGAAAUUCUCCAGGUGAAAAUAAGUACAAUAAAAGGAAGGGGGUGCCAGGAGGAGGCUGCCAGAGAGGGCCGGAGGUGGCAGGGGCCCUGGGGAGCGUCAGCGAGCUCUUCCUGCCCUCACGUGCCUGCUGGGCAGCACCUGGGCACCACCCUGCCAGCCUCUGCUGGCUCUACACGUGACCGUGACCCUUGGUCUAGCCUCAAAUCUGCAGCACCCCCGCCCCGCCCCAGGGCCUCUCUGAUGGAGGGAGGAGGGCUGCAGAGAGGUAGGGGGCUCCGACAGCACCCUAUUCUUGACUCCCAUUCCAGCACCCGUUCUCAUCUCAGAUACUGUAAUGUUGGCUGCUUGUUCAUGUGCAUUUAAAAAGAACACUCUUGUAGUUAAUAUGCGGGAAGGAUUUUGAUGUUCUCGCACAUAACCUUUUGCUGAAGUGACAUCGUGCGGUGAAAGGGUCCCGGGAGAGUCGGUGUAAUUUGGGCUGUGAGGGGCGGAGAAUACCAAUGCAGAGACCUCUCCAGAAAGCCCGGAACCAGGAGCCCCGGGGACCCCCACCUGUCGUCCCACCCGAGGCCUUGUCCCCUACUCUCCAUCCUGGCCCCAGGGACUACAGUUCUUUCAGAUUCAUUCAUAUUUGGGCUUGGCUGUUGGGCUUUUCCCUCUCAUGUCUCUGGUCUCUGAGUGGAAUGAAUUCCGGGGGAGGGGUCCUCCGUGGAGAGAGAGGGAUGGAGUUCAGGGGGGACAGAUGGGGAAGCCCCCAUCUGAGCAGGAGCUGGCCAGUAGGGGCGGCAGACAACCGGGCCCUCGCUUCGGGAAAUCGAAGGGCACGCUGAAGAUCUGUCGUGUCUGCCCUUGGCCCCAAAGGAUCAGUAAGGGGGUUUGAGAGGUUCCAGUUAAUUGAGGCUGAGUCUAAAUCGGAAGGCUUAGUAAAUGGUAAUUAUCCUCCCGUGGGAGUGGCCCAGAGCUCACUGAUGCCACAGCAGUGGGGACCGGGGUCGGACCCCUUCCUCUCCUGCCCACCUAGAGGCUCUGAGAACGGCUGUCCGAGGUCUCAGGGACAGACCUGGUAUGGAUGGGCCACCUCCUCCCUCCCCCAGGCGGGCUCAGGGCCUGGAGGUGUUUGGCAUGCCGGCCUUCCACCCAUCUGUCUCCAGUACCCUCCCAUUCGCUGGGGAUGGGUGUCUCCACAUGGAGCCUCAGCGGGACAUAGACUCUGGGAUUCCAGAGAGCAGCACCCGGCCGUGUGGACAGAGGUGACUGCGAGGACUUUCAGUCGUACCCCGAGGGGAACUUUCUGUCAUUUAAAGUGGCCCAGAAGCAGCCAGGCUGCUCCAGAGGGUCUGCGAGCAGAUCCAAAGUGUGCCUUCCUCUCCUGUGCGGUCCUUCCUGAUCUCAGAGGCCUGGGCUAUGGGCUUCCCUGGGUGACCACACACAGCAGUUAACUGAGGCCACCGUGGCCUCCUGCCUCUCCGGGUCCCCAGACCUGCCCAGAGAGGCAGGGAAUGUGGGUGAGGGUGGGAGGGUGUGUCUGUGUGCCCAGCAGGGUGGGGUUGAGAUGACACGAUGCUGUGUGCGUGUGUGGCUCCCAGGGCUGGGAGGGGGGUGGCUGUGAGUGUGGGCACCUGGGCCAGUGGACACAUUUGUGCCGAGGGGAGGGGUAUGCCAAGGCCCUGCCCACCCUUCCUGGUUCAGACCUUCCCACCCAGGCCCCUCACUGCCCCUUCCUCCAGAUCAGACCCGGGAGGCUCCCAGUCUCUCCAAACACUGACCAGCCAUUCUCCCCUCUCUCAGGGACCUCUACACCUGCCAGCCCGGCUCUUACUUUAUCCUUUUUCCCAGGAUGAGAGCAGGUCCUGUGGGUGGCCGGGAGGUCCCAGGGCACCAUGGGGACAAGGAGGGGGAAGGAAGAGGCCACCUGGUCACUGCUCAACUCGCUCCCCGCCCAACCAGGAGAGCCUGAAGAAAGUGGUUCCUAGGUUUUCACAGCAUCUGGGCCAGAUGGGGAGGCCUCUGUGGAUGUACUGUGAGCGUUUGCAGACGCAGAUGGAGCGUGUCCAGAGGUGGGGUGUUUUUAGAAUUGAGACAUGGCGUGUCUGGGCCAGGCUUUCUGGAGGAGAGGCAUGCAGCUGGAAGGUGAGACAGGGGCACUUGGGGAAUAGAAGGCAUUUUCUGGGGUGAGGAUGAGGCCUUUCUGGAUUCCAGACAUUGUCAGAGCUGAAACAUUUCUGGAAAGGGACUGUUUCUAGAGACAGACUGUAGUACUUCUGGAAGCGGGGUGUUUGGGGGGUGAUGCUGGAGUAUUUCUGGACGUAAAAUAGGGCAUUUCUGGAUCUGAGGUAUUUUGGGAGCUGAAGUGGAACGUCUCUGGAGAAGGGAUGUGAUAUUUCUGGAAACGGAGCAUGUCUGGAGCUGAGAGGAGCCUUGAUGGAGAGCACUGUCAUUUCUGGAGACGGAACAUUCUGGAUCAGACAGAGGGUUUCUGGAGAGGACAUGGGCCACCCUCAAAGUGGGGGCUGGAGUGCUUCUGGAGAUGGAGUUCUUGGAGGUGACGGUGGCUCAGUUAGGGCAGCCAUGGAUACCUCUUGAGAAGCGGGUGAGGUGGCCUCGGAGCCCAGAGGGCCCGGCCUGUGACCCUGGUGUUGUGGGAUGGGCUCCUGCCUAGGCCUACCCUUCCUCAAGCCUCCAGCCCUGCUUGUGGGGCCCCAGCCCCACCCUGUGGGCCCUGGCAGUGUCCAGGUUCACUGCAGGCACAGGCUGUGGCUGAAUGGUUAAUCUCACUUCACUCAGCUUCCUGGGAGCCACCUGGGCUCGCUUCCCAGGCCUCCACUGGGGACCCCCCACCCCCUACUUUUGAGCAGCCCUGAGGUUGGCCUUGUUUCAGCAGAGGGGUCACAGGGUAUGAGGCCUGAAGUGGGGGCAGGCCAAGUCCCUGCUGGGCCCAGGGUGACCUCAGGGUCCUGGCCACCUCCCCCCACCCCCCAACUCCAGGGGCCUGGAUUUUGAGGACUGUCACCACUUGAGCUGGCCCGGAGCUCUGAAGUAAUUAUUUCUCUUCCUUAAUUGAAAUUUCAGCCUCAGUGAUCCCGUCUCUGGAUCCCAGGGUGGGAAAAGGCAGGGAGGCCCUGCCCAGAAAGAGGGAGCCAGUGCCUGCCCUCAGGCUCUGGGGGCCACCCCACACCUCGGAUGCCAGCCAUGGGCAUGGGUGGAGAAGCUGCAGUUUAGGGAGACAGGGGUCUCAGGCGGUUGUGGGAAACUGCAGUUAAGAGGCUGAGCCUUCACCCCUGACAGUCUAGGGGAGAGCUGCAGGGGGCCUGACCCAGGCAGGUGUGGGUCUGGGGUGGCCUGUGUUGGGGCCCUGAUCCAGGGUAGCAGGAGGGGCCAGACUACUGGGAGAACCAUCUCCUGGGGUCCGGGGGUGGGCCAGGGGUCUGGCUCAUGCCGAGGCAAGGAAAGCAGGGGACCAGGUAGUGCCUGCUUCAGGGCUUGGUGAGGUGCUGGCCACGAGGGGUGGGCUGUGGCUGGGGGAGGGGCGCCAGGGAGCCUGUUUUCCCAGCUGCGGUCAGCUGGGCGGACACACACACACACACACACUCACUCUCUUGCUCUCUCCACCUGGGUGGUCCCUGCCUCCUCAUGGGCCCUGUGGGCCUGUCUGCCAGAGGGGACAGCCGGCCCCAGGGCCAGCAGGAAAUGGGGAGAAGGGUGGGCUUCCAGGGGGAGAGGGCCUUCUGAGGUUCUAGGAAGCAGGCAGGCCUGGCCUGGUUCUUGCGGGCCCUGGGGAUCUCAGUCUUCCCCAUCUGGGAAGUGGGGUUUGUGGGCAUUCUUGGGUGCGGUUGCCCUCCUCGCUCCUGGUGUUAACGUGCGGGGUCAGUGCUGGGGGUGUUUUCCUGGCACCCAUUAAUGCUUGGGCAAGGACUCCCCCACCCCCAAACCCUCAGACAGGCUAUGACAAGGGACAGUGGGGCCACUUGGAGUGAGGAUGGAGAAAACAUUAUUAGGAUGAGAACCACGCUCAGCAAGGUUGCCUGAGCCCUGGCUCUAGAAGCACACAGCCGCCUUUGGUGGGAGACACCUGGGCUGGGCUGCCCUCCAAGGGUAGGGGCCAGAGAUGGGUGGGAAGGGGCAUGCAGCCCUGGGAGCUGGGGAAGUGAAGACGGGGUGCUUUCUGAGAGUGAAGAGUGUCCAGGCAGGGGCAGCAGGGGCUGUGGCCCCUCCGCCUGCUGCCCUGUCUCAGCCCUAGACCAUCCUGCUACAGCACCUCCCCGCCUGACCCCCAGCUGCCCCCACUGGCCUCCCCUUGCUUAGGAAUUUUGAGGCCUUACACCACCACCCACCCUGAGCGGAGUCCUGUCCUCCCUAGGGUGGGGGGCCUGGAGCCCCAGAGGCUGCCUGGGGUGGGUUCCUGGUGCCUACGCCACUGGCCAGUCAGCUUCUGAGCUGACCUCCUUACCUCGGGCCAGAUGGGGCAGCCCCUCCCCCAGGCACAGAGAGCUCAGUCACCUCAUCACCAAGGGAACAGGGGGCCUUCCUGAUGCUGCAGCUCCCCAGGGAUUCAGAUGCCAGGUGAACCCCUUCCAGGUGGAUGGCCAGGGGCCCAGGCGUCAGUGCUCCAGAGGGCAUGGGGACUGCUCACCGCAGGGGCUUGGAAUUGAUGUCCACCAGAACCUUGGGAGACCCUCCAGGGCCUCCACCUGGUGGGGGGGCACAUGGACUUAUGGGACGCCGACUUUUGGCACCUGGGCCAGGGCCCCUGCCCACCCCUCGCCAUUCCACGGCCUCCGUUUGGGAGGACCCUGGCCAGGGGGGUCCCAGCUCCUCCUCCACCUAGAGAAGCUCUGGGUCCCCAGCUCAAGGACCUGCCGUCUUCUUCAGAAACCUCCCAGAGGCUAUGGACACUGCGCAUUCGCCCCUGGGGAGCUGGUGUCAUUGCGCCGCAUGGAAAAGUGGCCCCUCCACUGUCAGCCCGGGAGCUGGCCGGGGGCUGGGGGCGGAGAGACCUGACGCAGUGCCAGGGCUUCCUACAGGUGAGGCCAGCAAGUUGGGCAGAAGAGCGAAAGAAUUUGCCUUAGGCCACAGCCCGCCCCCCAUGGUGCCCAGGCAGGGAUGUGACUGGACUGCAGACAGGUGCCCUUGUGGCGGUACUUCCUGGGCCCAGACGUCCCAGGAGAGAGGUCUAGGCAGCGCAGGCCUGUGGGCCACAUUCUGCAUGUGUCUCUGACCCCUAGGCUGUGGCCCGUCCGCAGGCUGGGAACGGGCCCCCAUCUUGGCUUCCCCAGAACAAAGCGAGAUGAGCCACAGUGGAGGCUGCAUCUGAGCAGGUGGAAGGGGCUCCAUCUGCCUUUUGUUACCGGAGGAAGGAGGGCCUGUUGGAUGUGCC
ensembl:lncRNA